ensembl:snRNA U7 U7 small nuclear RNA
UAGUGUUACAACUACUUUAGAAUUUGUCUAGCAGGCUUUCCAGUUUUCACCGAAAAGCUCCC